rnacentral:rRNA from 1 species
AGACCCGAAACCCGGUGAUCUAGCCAUGGGCAGGUUGAAGGUUGGGUAACACUAACUGGAGGACCGAACCGACUAAUGUUGAAAAAUUAGCGGAUGACCUGUGGCUGGGGGUGAAAGGCCAAUCAAACCGGGAGAUAGCUGGUUCUCCCCGAAAGCUAUUUAGGUAGCGCCUCGUGAAUUCAUCUCCGGGGGUAGAGCACUGUUUCGGCUAGGGGGCCAUCCCGGCUUACCAACCCGAUGCAAACUGCGAAUACCGGAGAAUGUUAUCACGGGAGACACACGGCGGGUGCUAACGUCCGUCGUGAAGAGGGAAACAACCCAGACCGCCAGCUAAGGUCCCAAAGUCAUGGUUAAGUGGGAAACGAUGUGGGAAGGCCCAGACAGCCAGGAUGUUGGCUUAGAAGCAGCCAUCAUUUAAAGAAAGCGUAAUAGCUCACUGGUCGAGUCGGCCUGCGCGGAAGAUGUAACGGGGCUAAACCAUGCACCGAAGCUGCGGCAGCGAACGUAUCACCCAAGACAACUUUACGGAGUUGACGAUUGACGGAGCGAAGCGACGUC